rnacentral:rRNA from 1 species
AUACGUAGGGGGCGAGCGUUGUCCGGAAUGAUUGGGCGUAAAGGGCGCGUAGGCGGCGCGGUAAGUCUGGAGUGAAAGUCCUGCUUUCAAGGUGGGAAUUGCUUUGGAUACUGCCGCGCUUGAGUGCAGGAGAGGUUAUCGGAAUUCCCGGUGUAGCGGUGAAAUGCGUAGAGAUCGGGAGGAACACCAGUGGCGAAGGCGGGUAACUGGACUGCAACUGACGCUGAGGCGCGAAAGUGUGGGGAGCAAACAGGAUUAGAUACCCUGGUAGUCCACGCUGUAAACGAUGAUGACUAGGUGUGGGGGGACUGAACCCUUCCGUGCCGCAGUUAACACAAUAAGUCAUCCACCUGGGGAGUACGGCCGCAAGGUUGAAACUCAAAUGAAUUGACGGGG